rnacentral:rRNA from 1 species
GAUGAACGCUGGCGGCGUGCCUAAUACAUGCAAGUCGAGCGAACAGACGAGGAGCUUGCUCCUUUGACGUUAGCGGCGGACGGGUGAGUAACACGUGGGUAACCUACCUAUAAGACUGGGAUGACUUCGGGAAACCGGAGCUAAUACCGGAUAAUAUUUCGAACCGCAUGGUUCGAUAGUGAAAGAUGGCUUUGCUAUCACUUAUAGAUGGACCUGCGCCGUAUUAGCUAGUUGGUAAGGUAACGGCUUACCAAGGCAACGAUACGUAGCCGACCUGAGAGGGUGAUCGGCCACACUGGAACUGAGACACGGUCCAGACUCCUACGGGAGGCAGCAGUAGGGAAUCUUCCGCAAUGGGCGAAAGCCUGACGGAGCAACGCCGCGUGAGUGAUGAAGGUCUUCGGAUCGUAAAACUCUGUUAUUAGGGAAGAACAAACGUGUAAGUAACUGUGCACGUCUUGACGGUACCUAAUCAGAAAGCCACGGCUAACUACGUG